rnacentral:rRNA from 1 species
GACGAACGCUGGCGGCGUGCUUAACACAUGUAAGUCGAACGGAAAGGCCCUGCUUUUGUGGGGUGCUCGAGUGGCGAACGGGUGAGUAACACGUGAGUAACCUGCCCUUGACUUUGGGAUAACUUCAGGAAACUGGGGCUAAUACCGGAUAGGAGCUCCUGCUGCAUGGUGGGGGUUGGAAAGUUUCGGCGGUUGGGGAUGGACUCGCGGCUUAUCAGCUUGUUGGUGGGGUAGUGGCUUACCAAGGCUUUGACGGGUAGCCGGCCUGAGAGGGUGACCGGCCACAUUGGGACUGAGAGACGGCCCAGACGCCGACGGGAGGCAGCAGUGGGGAAUAUUGCACAAUGGGCGGAAGCCUGAGGCAGCAACGCCGCGUGCGGGAGGACGGCCUUCGGGUUGUAAACCGCUUUCGCCUGUGACGAAGCGUGAGUGACGGGAAUGGGUAAAGAAGCACCGGCUAACUACGU